rfam:Faecalibacterium prausnitzii A2-165 genomic scaffold Scfld2, whole genome shotgun sequence.
CAGAAGAAUCGGCAAACCAGCUGGAAGGCUGCGACGCAAAGCUAAAGGGCCCAGACCGGGCAGCCAGCUGCACUU